rnacentral:lncRNA from 1 species
GAAGAGUGGCCUCAAAUUAAAUUCUUUAUUAAUCUUUUUUUUCCAAAAUUUCCCCGAAAGGGGUUAAAUUCCAUAUAUUUUUUUACUACCCUUUCAUAUUUGUAUGUUUUCUCGAAUUGAUGAUACUAGAAGAGCCCUCUUUACCAAAGGAAUCCAAAUCUGCCGAAUCGCUCAUGUUAUGAUCUUCUACAUGCCUUGCACCUGUG